rnacentral:rRNA from 1 species
UACGGGGGGAGCAAGCGUUGUUCGGAUUUACUGGGCGUAAAGGGCGCGUAGGCGGCGUGACAAGUCACUUGUGAAAUCUCCGGGCUUAACUCGGAGCGGCCAAGUGAUACUGUCGUGCUAGAGUGCGGAAGGGGCUACUGGAAUUCUCGGUGUAGCGGUGAAAUGCGUAGAUAUCGAGAGGAACACCUGCGGCGAAGGCGGGUAGCUGGGCCGACACUGACGCUGAGGCGCGAAAGCUAGGGGAGCAAACAGG